rnacentral:rRNA from 1 species
UACAGAGGUCCCAAGCGUUGUUCGGAUUCACUGGGCGUAAAGGGUGCGUAGGCGGUCGGGUAAGUCUGAUGUGAAAUCUCACAGCUUAACUGUGAAACUGCAUUGGGUACUAUUCGGCUUGAGAGUUGGAGGGGGGACUGGAAUUCUUGGUGUAGCAGUGAAAUGCGUAGAUAUCAAGAGGAACACCAGUGGCGAAGGCGAGUCCCUGGACAACUUCUGACGCUGAGGCACGAAAGCUAGGGGAGCAAACAGG